UAGGGAAUCUUCCACAAUGGACGCAAGUCUGAUGGAGCAACGCCGCGUGAGUGAAGAAGGUUUUCGGAUUGUAAAGCUCUGUUGUUGGUGAAGAAGGAUAGAGGCAGUAACUGGUCUUUAUUUGACGGUAAUCAACCAGAAAGUCACGGCUAACUACGUGCCAGCAGCCGCGGUAAUACGUAGGUGGCAAGCGUUGUCCGGAUUUAUUGGGCGUAAAGCGAGCGCAGGCGGAAUGAUAAGUCUGAUGUGAAAGCCCACGGCUCAACCGUGGAACUGCAUCGGAAACUGUCAUUCUUGAGUGCAGAAGAGGAGAGUGGAAUUCCAUGUGUAGCGGUGGAAUGCGUAGAUAUAUGGAAGAACACCAGUGGCGAAGGCGGCUCUCUGGUCUGCAACUGACGCUGAGGCUCGAAAGCAUGGGUAGCGAACAGG
rnacentral:rRNA from 1 species